rnacentral:rRNA from 1 species
GAUGAACGCUGGCGGCGUGCUUAACACAUGCAAGUCGAACGGACAGGCCCUGCUCUUGUGGCGUGCUCGUGUGGCGAACGGGUGAGUAACACGUGAGUAACCUGCCCUUGACUUUGGGAUAACUUCAGGAAACUGGGGCUAAUACCGGAUAGGAGCUCCUGAUGCAUGGUGGGGGUUGGAAAGAUUCGGCGGUUGGGGAUGGACUCGCGGCUUAUCAGCUUGUUGGUGGGGUAGUGGCUUACCAAGGCUUUGACGGGUAGCCGGCCUGAGAGGGUGACCGGCCACAUUGGGACUGAGAUACGGCCCAGACUCCUACGGGAGGCAGCAGUCGGGAGUAUUGCGCAAUGGGCGGAAGCCUGAUGCAGCAACGCCGCGUGCGGGAUGACGGCCUACGGGUUGUAAACCGCUUUCGCCUGUGACGAAGCGUGAGUGACGGUAAUGAGUAAAGAAGCACCGGCUAACUACGUG